rfam:Rhizobium etli CFN 42, complete genome.
AGACGGAACUCUGGAGAGAAGCGUUCUCGAAACGCUCGCCGAAGGGAUAACAAUCUCAGGCGUCAAGGACAGAGGGGGCUCA